rnacentral:misc_RNA from 1 species
AAAAUGGGUUCCGCAUGCAGCAAAUGUCGCGAAGAUACGGCGCUCCCUUUUGAGUUCAAGAUGGCUUUCCAACCCAUUGUCGAUCUUUCUGCGCAACGUGUCUGGGGGUAUGAAGCGCUCGUNNNNNNNNNNNNNGUAAAUGGAGAGUCCGCAUUAUCGGUCCUAAACCAAGUGAAUGAGCAUAUCCGGUACCAGUUUGAUCAGGCCUCCCGGGUCAUGGCGAUCGAGACGGCAGGGGCNNNGGAAGAGAUUUGCGACUAUCGAUCAAUUUUAUGCCGAAUGCGGUCUAUGAGCCAAGUGCGUGCAUCCAGAAGUCUCUCGCCGCAGCUAAGCGAGCUCAUUUCCCGCAUAAAA